UUUUUGUAAAAAAGCGCAUGUCUCCCCCAAUGCAAAGUCCUAUAGGCAAGAAGUCAAUAGGGGUCAGGAGCGAAAGUCAAAGAGACACUGAUGGUUGGCUGCAAUAGGGAUCAUCUACUUGGCAUGCACUGAAAGCAGUUUUUCAUUGAUAGUCAAAGGCAGAUAUAGUCAUUACUAUUUUGAUAUUUGAAACUUUGAUAUAGCAAACAAUAUUUGUUUUCUGUGAAACAAGUAUCAGUCACAAUUUAACAUGUGCUUCACCGUGGACAUUGCACAUAGAAGAUGUAAACAUGGGACGGUGAAUAAACACUUUCUUCAGUGCUAUAUCAUACCAUAAAUGCAUUGUGUAGUUACAGAAUUUAUAUAAAGUUAACAUGAUAGUAUAUUAAACAAAAACUACUUCACGUGUGAUUCAGCAUCAACAUGGCAUAUUUUUCGCUAGUUAUAGGCACUUUUCAUGUGGUAUUCUGAUGUAUUCAAGACGUAUUUCGUUUUAUAGCCGUAGGUCAUUAAUUAUGUGAUUCAUUUGCAGCCAUGUGCAUCUAUUAAACCAUAGGCCUUUACCUCUAGAUUCAUUUGCAAUCAUGCACAUUCAGCAAGUGUUGCAUCAUAUACCAUUGGUAUUAAUCAUUAAUUAUGUUCUUUUUGCUCUUGUUUUGUGCUUGAUUUAUUAGCAAGCGUGUGCAUUCAGCAAGUGUUGCAUCAUAUGCAAUAUGCAUUAAUCAUGUGAUUUAUCAGUAUCAAUGUUCUUUUUUGCACGUGGUGAUUAAUCACCAGUCAGUUUUGUACUUGAUUUAUUAGCAAGCGUGCUCAUUCAGCAAGUGUUGCAUCAUAGGCAUUAUUCAUGUGGUUGGUUUCUUAGCAUGUUAUUCUGAUGUACUCGAUGUUGCUCGUGAUUCAUCAUCAUUCAUGUUCUGCUUGAUUUAUUAGCAAGCGUGCGCAUUCAGCAAAGUGUUGCCUCAUAUGUCAUAGGCAUUAAUCAUGUGAUUUAUCAGCAUCUAUGUCCUUUUUGCACGUGGUGAUUAAUCAUCAGUCAGUUUUUUGCUAGCAUGCUCAUUCAGCAAGUGUUGCAUCAUAUGCCAUAGGCGUUAAUCAUGUGAUUUAUCAGUAUCUAUAUCCUUUGUGAACGUGACUGAUCAUCCGUCAUCUCUUGCUUGAUUUAUUAGCAAGCGUGCGCAUUCAACAAGUGUUGUAUCAUCAUCCAUAGGCCAGAAAAUCAUAUCACUCUGAUUCUUAUUCUUCAAGUGUUUCAAUUCACAUUUUCUCUUGAUUGUUAAGCAGCCGAACUCAUUCACCAAAAUUUCCACCAUAAAUCAUAGGUAUUAAUCACAUUAUUCAUUGGAAAGCAUGGUAAUUUUUCCGUUAUUUGCCAUAUACAUUUAUCACAAGAUUCAGUUAUAAUUAUAUCAUAUUUUCUAUCAUAAGCCACAUAUAUAAUUCACUUGACACAACACUACAAGCAAUGUGCUUCAACAAGUGUUGUGUUUUCUUCAUAGUCAUUAAUGAUGUGAUUCAUGAACGUUCAUAAUUAGUCAUAGGCUUAAUAAAGCCGUUUUCAUUCAUUUUUUAUUUUUGACCAUGGACAUUAAUUACAUGUUUCAUUGGCUGGUCACCUUGCUCAUUCAGGACAUUUGCUUCCUUGGCCAAAAACUAAGCUAACUAUCCAAGCAGUGAGUAUCCAGGUCCCGAUUUCACGAAAUACUUAUGUUUGUUAAAUGACUUUAGUACAUUAAUUUGCUUAAGAAAAGUAAAAAUGAAGCAAAUCAAUAUACUUAAGUCAAUUAACAAACUUAAGUAUUUUCGUGAAAUCAGGGUCAGGUUGUGAUUUACAGAUGGACAUAUUCGGCCUAGCCAAAGAUCACUUUGUAAUCACAAUGACUACAUACGUACACUGUAUUUAUUUAUACCAGACUGUUUUUAUUGCAUUACGGUAUGUUGACAUUGACUUCUUAUUAGUUCAUAAUUACUGCAGGGAAAAUACAUUGUAUUGGAUGUCAUUUGCACUUGCAGUAGACAAGAUGACAUUUUUUGCUACAAAAUGUUUGGUAAGAGAAUAAUGACCACAUUUGAACAGUAACAGUGACUGAGUGAUUGUCUCCCGUCACUGUAGGAUUUCCUAGUUAUCUUACAAAAAUGAUCUGUUAUAUUAUUGGAAUCAGAAAUAAAUCUACUCUGAGUUAUUAGUAUAAAAUUAACUGCUACAUUUAUUAUUCACAUACUAGUAUUCAUUUGGACAAUCGUUAAUUUAAUUUCAUGACUUACUUUUCAACAUAUCGCAUCCUUGAUGUUUCUUUUGGCAAUAGCUCGCUUGCUGUCAACAAUAUAUAAUGAAAUAGAUCUCGUUCGGUCGGAAUAAUGCUAUAUGCUACAAUGCAGCGGUUUUAAAACAACUUAACCAUCAUUAAAUUAUAUAAUAACUUCCUUCCACAUUUUUUUUUGCUGUGGCCAUAUAAGGAACAUGCUAUCUAAUCUGGUCAUGUUAUCUUAUAUAUUACAUUUUAGUAAAUUAGCUCGAUAUUGUAUCAAACUCAUAAUUUUUUCACAUGGUAUUUCAAGAUAAAGGGCUCGAAUUCUGUAUUGUUCGAAAGCGCCCUACACUGUUUGUGAAAGGAAAACUUUAACCGACAAACAAUUGAAUAUUGUAAGUUUGGUACAUCUAGCUUUUCGUCGGUAAAUGGCAUAAUAGAAUAAACAAUUUUGAUCCUGUGGGUUUAGCGACUUCUUAAAUGAACAUUGUCGAAUUUAUCAUUUGGUAAUCUAGUCUUAUCUAGGGAAUGUAUGCAGAGGUGUAUAGCGUCCAGUGAGGUAUAGUAUGAAGGGUCGGACGAAGUGUGGAAGUUAGAUCAGAGAUGGUAGGAAUGCCAUUUCAUCAGACAAGUAUUUUAUGCGUGCAAUAAUUAAUUUCUUUCAGGGCAACUCUUAAUGAAAGCUUUGUUUUAAAGAUAUCUACAUUCUCUUUGAUUGUCUUUAUAAAUAACCAAAGCUGUUAAAGAAUAAUCAAAAUUAAAGAAAUAGAUUUGUUUUAUACAAUUUGACCAAUGCUCCUUUUUUAUUUCCAGUCUAAUCGACGAAAAGCUGUGUUACACGUGUUUAUUUUCACUUUUGUGGCAGAAAUGUUCAAUUCAGUUCAGUAUGUCCUUUUCGCCGUUGUUUUAUUAGGUUCGACAACAACUGAGGCCCCAUCCACUCACUAGGGUAGAUCCACAGAUCUUCCUCAGAGUUAGGUGAUCCUCGAGCAGGCUGUGGUAAGAAUCAGUUUAUAUGGGAUAAGACUGAACAGAACCAGGUAUACACAGUGAACAGUUAAAGAUACGUCACUCAUGGCCAAUAAAAAAAAUUGCCGUGACAGAACGAUUUAUUUCAAUUCCAAGAAAUUUUUCAAAAACGAGAAUGGUAUCGAGAAAUAUUGAUGACGGAAAACUUGUCUGUAUAUUCGAAAGAACUAUCUUGUCAAAAACAUGGACAGUGGGCUUGAUUAAACAAAAAUGGAUUGGAACUAGUACCAAACACACUAUUUAGAAAUGUAUAACAUUAAUGGAAGAUUAGUUAGGCUUUUGGAGAGGAGAAUCAGAAAAUCCAAAGAUCUGAAAUGUUUUAGUGUUGCAGCAGUUGAACAAAACGUACACCCAUUGAUCUUUACAGCACGACCUACAAGUAAGAACAGCGUAGACAUUAUCAUUUGACUGUUUGAUUGUAAAAGUAUUCGUUUUCCGGUUAUUUAUGACAUUUCAAAGAGACAGGAAGCUUGAAUAAUUGUGAAAACUUAGAAAACAGUUGCGUUCAGCCAAUCUAACUUGUGAUUUAUCAGGGACCUAGCUCAGAUAUGUCAAGUUGUAGCCAGAGUUCGGACAUAGAGGAUGUUGUUGAACUAAAAGGCCACUGAUGUAAGCAACGCUGAAGAUGUUUACAGCGCUUUGAAAAAUGCUAAAAAAAGUUGAAUAUAUUCUUGUGUCUGAACAAGAAGUAUUCUUUAUCUUACUUACUAGUACAUAACAUUAAGGACUUCGAACAAUAUUGGAAGCUUUACAAUCACACCAUGAAGGAAAACUGUGUUUAUAGCUCACACAAGAGUUUUGUUUAUUCAUGAUAUGAUUAUAUUGAUUGAAAACAAAGAACAAGAACUUGCUUAUCAAACAAUAUUCUUGACAGACAGUAAAAUUGUUCAGCAAUUAACCUUCAACCUGCUGGCGGCAAGUGAUUCUGCCUUUGCGACCAGUGCAUGCUCAUUUUGGUCUGCACUGUUCGCUAUUCAGUCAGUAAAUUUUCAUUGAACACUUCUUCAAGUAAUAAAUUGCACUGCCCAAAUUCAAUGAUAGAUCAGACCAUUUUAGAAAUUUAGCAGGGUAAAGGUUAACUUGAUUUUCAAGUGGUAAAAGUAAGACAGUCGAACUUUAAUCAAACAUGAAAUAAACAUUGAUUAUGUUAUGGUGAAAGCAAUUUAGACUGGCGUUGAAUAACACUAUUUCAAACUAGUUUAAACCAUUACUUUUUUAAAUUAAUUUAUUGAUCUUUCCAUAAAGCUAAUUUUGUACAUAAUAUACUGUCUUCAAUGUCCAGUGUUUGUUGUGUUUAAUUUGAUUUAAUUGAAUUCAGUUUCAUUUGCUUUUAUAUAUGUCCAUUUGCUUACUAAUGUUAUACUUUAGCAAUUUAUCAUAAACGGACAGCGUGACACAUAUAUACAUACAUUGUAAAGAGAAACCGUCACAACACUAUAUUAUUUUCAACCCAGACGCUCAUUAUAAAUAUGAUAUUUAAAGCCUGACUGGCGUAUCUAUUUUUACAUCAAAGUGGGAUUGAUUUACCGGAUUUUAUGACUAUGUUGCUGUCAAAUUAGUACAGUUUGAAUGUAUUUUACAUGGGUUAGGACAUAUAAACAAUGUUUGUUUUGUACUUUCCACUCUUUAUUAGGUGUCUUUUUAUUUUACUAAUCUGGGAGCUAUCUCAAUCAUUUGUUAUGAACUGAUAUGAGAGCUAUAUAGAUUCCAAAGUGAUGUGUUUUCUUUCGAGUUUUUCUGUGAUGCUAAAAGGCCUCCAGAGAAAGACAGAUUAGCCUAGCAAGAUUGAAUCAUUUAUGUUUGUGAUUUAUUAAUCCAUGACAUUCAAAUUUAUUUUAAUUAGAACAUUUAUGUCCGUUUUAUAUUUUUUCUGGCUAGUUUACCGACCAAUAUUAUUUAAUAAUAUUAGCUUUAAAUCAUGAAUGGAAAAGGGCAGUUAUUGCAACACCAUGAUAAACCACACCAUCCGGGUACAAUAAAAACAAACGCUCGUUUUCUUAAAACAAAUUACAUACGUUUUUCAUGAAAAACCCGAUUUAGUUUACGGAUUUUAUGAGGGUGUGGUUGUCAAAUUGAAACGUGCAGAAUAUAAUUUACAAUUAUAAUGCCAUAUUAGUAUUUUACACUUUUGACAAGACGUAAUCAAGUUUCAGGUUUAUAUUACUUAUCUAGAAGUCAUGUUAUUCAUUUCAUAAAAUAUAUUAAAAUUGAUAGCAAGUGUUUGCAUGAAAUUGUUUUCAUUAACCUCUGCCCUAUACAGCCAAACGAAGAGAUGAGUUCCUCUGUAUUAACGUUGUACGCAAUAUUCGUAUAUAUGUGACCUUAAAAACAAAUAAAACAAUAGUUUGACCUAGGACGGAAUUAUAUCUAAAUAUCCUGUUGUAUAUACGUUUUCUUCAGUAUGUAUUUACUUUACACAUGAAGAAUAUUUACGAUCGAGUAUAAGUAGUGUCAAGAUUUCUUUUAUAGGUAAAGUUUAAAGGAAGUAGGACGUACGUUUAAAAAUUAAUAUGUAGGAUGGUAAUUUGCCGAUUAAGGCACCUUAGAAAGACUUAGAAUGGAAUGAAAAUUUUCACGUUCGAAUGAACUAAAAGAUGUUACCUAGGUUAACAAUGUCAUUUUUUAAAAUUACAAAUAUGUAACUAGAGUGACCAGAAGAACGAGUUAUGACAGACAGGGAUUUAAAUGACAAUGCAGCAGUUUGGCAUACAGAUUCGCAGGUUUCAGACGUACCGUCGAUAAACUAUGAAGUUUACACAGACGAAGAUGCCAUUGAGGAACUGCAUGGACCUAUGAGCUGGACGGGACCCGCUCUGGGAAGUGCAAUUUUCUGUUUUUUACCGACAGGACUGAUAGCAUAUUAUAAUGCUAGAAAGGCACAAAAAUCAUUCGAAGCGGGUGACAUGCAAUCAUGGACACGUUACAGGGGACGUGCACGGUUUCUCGUGUUUGUUACUUGUAUUCUCGGAAUUUUAGUCUAUAUAGUAAUAAUCGCAGUUGUGCAAGGAGUAAAACAUACUAGUACCACGUGAUUCAGUCAUGUGUUCCUGGAAUUCUACUUCACAUUGCAUUAUAUUCACAGUUUUGAAAGGAUUCAAACAUACUAGUACCAUGUGAUUCAUUCAUGCGUUUUUGGAAUUUUAGAGUAUUUUGCAAUAAUUAGAGUUGCGCAAAGAGUCAAACAUAUCAAAAUCGCGUGAUUUAUUCAUGCGUUUUUGGAAUUUUAGCUCAUAAUGCAGUAAUUGCAGAUGUGUUAAGAGUCAAACAUAUCAUUUCCACGUGAUUCAUCCAUAUGUUCUUAGAAUUUUAAUUCAUAUUGCAAUUUACGCAAUUAUGCAAGGAGUAAAAGCAACAAUACCACGUGACUCAUCGUUUGUUAUGAUAAUAUGAGCUGAAGAAGGAUAUAAACAAACCUGUACCACGUGAUUCAUCCAUGUGUUCUUGGAAUUUCAUUUAAUGUUGAGAUAAUAUGAGCCACAUGAUAUAUAACGAUUCCAGUACUACGUGAAUCGUUUGCAUGGUUUGUGGCUGUAUGGACUAUGCAAGGUGUCAAGGAAUUAAACAAUAUCAUUUACAAUAAUAUUCUGUAUUUCAGUAAAUAGUCCCAUUUAGUAACUUGAGUUACAUCUCUCGACGUUCCGAACAAUCACCAUAAACAGUAUGUAACCAAGGUGUCUUAUUUAAUGCUCAUUGUCUCAUUCUUGCCGCUUUCCUGAAGAUGGUUUAAGAUCAUUGGCUUAAUCUUGGACUGAAAAUAAUUUAAAAGAAUUCUUAAAUGCUAGCAGCCGAGAGAUUAUUGCCUUUUAUAAAAUUUUGGUGACAAGUGUUUGAAUGAAAAGUUAACGUGUAUGACACAUACAUUCAUUAAUAUUUUGCUAUUUGAAGCCUUGAGAAAACAAAUAGGUUUUUAUCUGUGAUACAAGUACCAGUGGCAAUUUAUCAUGUGCUGCCAAAAAGGAUGUAAAAAAAAUGGACAGUGAUUGAACAGUUGACAUUCUUCAGUGCCAUAUUUAUUCAGUAUAUAAUGUAGUUUAGAAUUUAUAUAAAGUUAACAUGAUACUAUAUUUAAUAAACUAAAAACAUUAACAUGUGAUUGAGCAUCAACAGGACGAUGUCCUCACUAGUCAUAUCUCAUAGGCAUUAAUUCUUAGAAUGUUAAUCUGAUUUCUUUAUAGCCGUAGAUCAAUAAUCAUGUGAUUCAUGUGCAGCCAUACUCAGUCAUAGCCCCUUUAUCUCUAGAUUCACCAACAAUUGUGCUUAUCGGCAAGUGUUAUGCCAUAGGCAUUAAUCAUGUGAUUUAUCAGUAUUUAUGCUCUUUCUGCACGUGAUUCAUUAUUAGUUGUUUUCGCUUCUUUUAGUAGUAGCGCGCUCAAUCAGGAAAUUAAGUGUUCAUUAAGUCUUCCGUAAUUAGGUAUGAGGCCAUAGGCAGUACAUGAUUGAGCAUUGUUAUAAUUGACCAUGGACAUUAACUACGCGAUUCAAUGGCCGGUAUCCAUGCUCAUCCAGAGUGUGCUGCUUCAUUCGCCAGAAACAAAAGCGCCGUGUAGAAACAUUCAUUCGUAUGUUGCAUCAUAUAGAAAUAGGCACCAAUCUCCUGAUGUACGAGCAGCCAUUUUUAUAUUGCAAGUGUUGCAUCAUUAAUCACAAGAUUUAUUAGCAACGUACUCAUUCAAUUUAUUUGUCGCCAGCAAAUGGCAUUAACCACUUGAUUCAUUAGCUGUUAUAUUUAGCCUUUAACUGAAUAAGCAUUAACUGUUUGGCAUUAAGCACGUGAUUUAUUUGUAGACGUAUUCAUUUAUGUAACGUGGUCACAACUAGCAGUGAGUGUUCAGUUUGUGAAUCACAGGUGGACAUAUUCCUUCUAGCCAAAGAUCACUUUACAGUCAUAUUUGUUAUAUAAUUGUGUUGUAUUUAUUUAGAUUUACAUUUGUAAAUACGAAUGCUUUUAUUACAUUAAAUGUACGGUGUUUCUGACUCCUUAUUAGGUGAAAAUUUAGAUGUACCAGCAUACCCUGCUUUGAAAUGCUGCAACAAAAUAGAAUACUGCCAAUGUAACAGAGUAUUAAAUAUAACAAGACGUGCUUUCAGUUGUAAUCAUUGUUAUUUUUGACCCGUAGUACAUUGAAAUUGAUUAAUAAUUUAAACCACUUGUGAUCUAUGUCUGUUUGGGAGAUAGCAAAUAGUUUAUGAAAUUAAGUGCGUAAAACUAGUUUCCAUCAGAGUAUUAUUAAAUAGGACUGCUUGAAGAGCAUGGAAGGCCGUACACAUACGUUUAUGGACAUUUUAUGUAUUUGAUACCAAAACGACAUUUAUUAAAUCAAAGCCUUGAGAUGUCUGGUGGUUGCGGGUUUUGCUAGAGUUAUUUUCAUUUUAAAUGCCAAUCUAGAUUCUAUAAAUAAACAUGUAUAAGAAACAAAUACUAAUGGGCC
rnacentral:lncRNA from 1 species